UACGGAGGGUGCAAGCGUUAUCCGGAUUCACUGGGUUUAAAGGGAGCGUAGGUGGACUGAUAAGUCAGUGGUGAAAUCUCCGGGCUUAACUCGGAAACUGCCAUUGAUACUAUUAGUCUUGAAUAUUGUGGAGGUUAGCGGAAUAUGUCAUGUAGCGGUGAAAUGCUUAGAUAUGACAUAGAACACCAAUUGCGAAGGCAGCUGGCUACACAUAUAUUGACACUGAGGCUCGAAAGCGUGGGGAGCAAACAGG
rnacentral:rRNA from 1 species